AUGGGAACCAUUAAACCAUUCUAACCAGAGAGAGGAUAUGGUUCAUUUGUACUUGAAAAAGGUCACUCUGCUGCCAUGUGGGCAAUGGAUUGGACACAGACAAGAUUAGAGGCUGUUGCCAGAGUCCAGAUGAGAGAUAAGGGUGACCUGGAUCAGGCUGGUGGCGCCAAAGAAAGAGUGCACAGAAUCAAGGAAUAUUGAGGAGGUGGAAUCUACAGACCUGGUGACGACUGGAUGAGGAAUGGGGAUGCCCUGUUGAGGCUACAAGUGCAACCACCACUGAAUCAACCAAACAAAACUUUUUCAUGCAUCGAUUUGGUCUCCACUUCCCAAAUAAGGUCAAGAUUGAGGAUAGCAAGAAUCAGCCUCCACCAUAAAAAAGACCAAAACCCCAAAGGAUGUGAUUUUUCUUUAAAGUUGUUCACUGCAACGAGAGUUUCUAUAUUUGAGAUAUGAGGUCCAGGAGCUGAUGCAAUCUUUCUUCGUUGGGUUUCAAAAGGCAGGCAGGUGAGUUUCCAUUUGCUCUUCCAUUUUCUCCCUGGCUUCGUUAUGGUGUCAGAUCAACAUUCCAAACCUCCUUCUGGACAGCGGUUGAGCCUGUGAAAAAAAGUGAUUAAAACGUAACUGAAGGACGCCCGUGUCCCUGAGUAUCAGUAUAUGAGGGAGCAAAGCGGGUGGGGGUCGGGGGCAAGGCUCUAGUUGAAGACCAAGGACUUUAAAGGCUAACGAUGACUUUGUUUUUAUACGAAGGAGAGGCAGCAGGCACCGGGCUCGCGGACUCUGGGUCCCGGGAACACCCACGCGGCUUCAAGAAGAGGGAGCGAGUCUGGAAACCGAAACCGGCCCUGGGCGCACAGACGAUGGCCUCGGGGCUUGCUCGUCCCGCCCGCUGGCCGCAGGUGCGCGAGCACCCCCACCCACCCCUGGGCGAUCUCAGCCCGGGGACCGCCCCCCCGACCCCCAGUCUCCUGUCGGGGGGCGAGGGAGGCGGGGACAGAGGUGGG
rnacentral:lncRNA from 1 species